rnacentral:misc_RNA from 1 species
AUUGAAUCUAUAUAUAAGCGAAGAGAUUCACGUUCACAUCUUAACUUCAACAUCAACUUCCACAUGGAUAUGGAAAACAUGAGCUAGUCAGCCUUCCAAAUAGAAGCGAAGUAAUUAAUAAGAACAAUCACAUGUAGCAGUAUACUUUGAGCAAAUUUAAAUUCACUAUUACAAAGUUUUCAAGUAAAGCCAAGGAAGACGGAGUGGGCAGAUUAUUUGCGGCAUAAUGUAAAAACUGACUUUGCAGCUUCAGAAACAAAAUCUUCACCCUUAUAAAGAGGGAGAGCCCUUACAACCGGUCAAUUUUCACAAGGAUUGAUAUUUCAAGGAUAGUAACCAGUGAAUGUAAACCCUCUUCCUACUAUCUCACCAGCACAAUACCAUGCAAAACACUCCAAACCAAACAACGCUGCAAUUCCAGCAUCUUCAACCUUCAACUCCUUUCUAUUCUUCCACAUUUGCUUCACAGAAUCAAGCUCCUUCCAAAAUGCCUCAUAACGUCCAGGAAUGCUUGCCAGGCGAGUGUAGAGUAACUGCUUGGACAACUCAUUGCACUUUUCAACAGUGGGUGGCUCCACAAUGUACUGCUUGUUCUGCUCUAGCAACUGUUUGUAGUAGGCAGUACCAUGCUUG